rnacentral:rRNA from 1 species
UAACACUGAGAAAUUGGUACUAAUACCCCAUAAUAUCAUAGAAGGCAUCUUUUAUGGUUGAAAAUUCCGAUGGUUAGAGAUGGGCAUGCGUUGUAUUAGCUAGUUGGUGGGGUAACGGCUCACCAAGGCGACGAUACAUAGGGGGACUGAGAGGUUAACCCCCCACACUGGUACUGAGACACGGACCAGACUCCUACGGGAGGCAGCAGUGAGGAAUAUUGGUCAAUGGACGCAAGUCUGAACCAGCCAUGCCGCGUGCAGGAUGACGGCUCUAUGAGUUGUAAACUGCUUUUGUACGAGGGUAAACGCAGAUACGUGUAUCUGUCUGAAAGUAUCGUACGAAUAAGGAUCGGCUAACUCCGUGCCAGCAGCCGCGGUAAUACGGAGGAUUCAAGCGUUAUCCGGAUUUAUUGGGUUUAAAGGGUGCGUAGGCGGUUUGAUAAGUUAGAGGUGAAAUUUCGGGGCUCAACCCUGAACGUGCCUCUAAUACUGUUGAGCUAGAGAGUAGUUGCGGUAGGCGGAAUGUAUGGUGUAGCGGUGAAAUGCUUAGAGAUCAUACAGAACACCGAUUGCGAAGGCAGCUUACCAAACUAUAUCUGACGUUGAGGCACGAAAGCGUGGGGAGCAAACAGGAUUAGAUACCCUGGUAGUCCACGCAGU